rnacentral:misc_RNA from 1 species
UUUCCGUAGGUGAACCUGCGGAAGGAUCAUUAAUGAGUUGUCAUGGGGUUCGAUGCUGGCAGCCAGUUUUUGGAUGCAUGUGCUUGCCCUAACAAUCAUCUUCUUCCAAACACCUGUGCACAUUUUUGAGGGAGUCUUGAGUUGGUUGCCGCUCUUGGGUGAUUUUCUCACAUUCCCUUAAAUCAUUAUACGCUAUUAACAAUGUUGAACGUGCUCUGUGCCGCAAGGCCAUUAAUAUGAUACAACUUUUAACAACGGAUCUCUUGGCUCUC